UAAGGUCACGGCGAGACGAGCCGUUUAUCAUUAUGAUAGGUGUCAAGUGGAAGUGCAGUGAUGUAUGCAGCUGAGGCAUCCUAAUAGACCGAGAGAUUUGAAC
rnacentral:rRNA from 1 species